UGGGGAAUAUUGGACAAUGGGGGAAACCCUGAUCCAGCCAUGCCGCGUGAGUGAUGAAGGCCUUAGGGUUGUAAAGCUCUUUUAGCAGGGAAGAUGAUGACGGUACCUGCAGAAUAAGCACCGGCUAACUUCGUGCCAGCAGCCGCGGUAAUACGAAGGGUGCUAGCGUUGUUCGGAAUCACUGGGCGUAAAGCGCGCGUAGGCGGCUUUUCAAGUCAGGGGUGAAAUGCCAAGGCUUAACCUUGGAACUGCCUUUGAAACUGUAAAGCUGGAGUGUCGGAGGGGAUAGCGGAAUUCCUAAUGUAGUGGUGAAAUACGUAGAUAUUAGGAGGAACACCGGUGGCGAAGGCGGCUAUCUGGACGACAACUGACGCUGAGGCGCGAAAGCGUGGGGAUCAAACAGGAUUAGAUACCCCCGUAGUCC
rnacentral:rRNA from 1 species